GACGAACCGUGCGAACGUUGUUCGGAAUCACUGGGCUUAAAGGGCGCGUAGGCGGGUCGCCAAGUUUGGGGUGAAAUCCUCCCGCUCAACGGGAGAACGGCCUUGAAUACUGGCGAUCUCGAGGGGGAUAGGGGCAUGCGGAACUACGGGUGGAGCGGUGAAAUGCGUAGAUAUUGGGAGGAACACCAGUGGCGAAGGCGGCUCACUGGACCGGAACUGACGCUGAGGCGCGAAAGCGUGGGGAGCAAACAGG
rnacentral:rRNA from 1 species